AUGUGGUGGUUGGGCGAACUUUGGUUUUGCAAUCUACUAUUACUUAUACAGUCCAAUUACUUUGCAAUGCUAGAAAUGGUAGAAUUUUUCAAAAUUCAGAGACCACUUCUAUUCAAUUUGUUGGUAAAGCCUCUUCAUUUGCUUUAAAGUUCGUGGAGUCUUCGUUAGAUGGCCCAAUGGGUAACCCAUGGCUCUGAGAUAUCUGUGAGGCU
rnacentral:lncRNA from 1 species